rnacentral:rRNA from 1 species
GCUGUCACUUAUAGAUGGGCCCGCGGCGCAUUAGCUAGUUGGUGAGGUAAUGGCUCACCAAGGCGACGAUGCGUAGCCGACCUGAGAGGGUGAUCGGCCACACUGGGACUGAGACACGGCCCAGACUCCUACGGGAGGCAGCAGUAGGGAAUCUUCCGCAAUGGACGAAAGUCUGACGGAGCAACGCCGCGUGAACGAAGAAGGCCUUCGGGUCGUAAAGUUCUGUUGUUAGGGAAGAACAAGUACCAGAGUAACUGCUGGUACCUUGACGGUACCUAACCAGAAAGCCACGGCUAACUACGUGCCAGCAGCCGCGGUAAUACGUAGGUGGCAAGCGUUGUCCGGAAUUAUUGGGCGUAAAGCGCGCGCAGGUGGUUCCUUAAGUCUGAUGUGAAAGCCCACGGCUCAACCGUGGAGGGUCAUUGGAAACUGGGGAACUUGAGUGCAGAAGAGGAAAGUGGAAUUCCAAGUGUAGCGGUGAAAUGCGUAGAGAUUUGGAGGAACACCAGUGGCGAAGGCGACUUUCU